rnacentral:rRNA from 1 species
AUUGAACGCUGGCGGCAUGCUUUACACAUGCAAGUCGAACGGUAACAGGCCGCCAGGUGCUGACGAGUGGCGCACGGGUGCGUAAUGCAUCGGAACGUGCCCAGUCGUGGGGGAUAACUACUCGAAAGAGUAGCUAAUACCGCAUACGAUCUAUGGAUGAAAGCGGGGGACCGUAAGGCCUCGCGCGAUUGGAGCGGCCGAUGUCAGAUUAGGUAGUUGGUGGGGUAAAGGCUCACCAAGCCAACGAUCUGUAGCUGGUCUGAGAGGACGACCAGCCACGCUGGGACUGAGACACGGCCCAGACUCCUACGGGAGGCAGCAGUGGGGAAUUUUGGACAAAGGGCGCAAGCCUGAUCCAGCAAUGCCGCGUGCAGGAAGAAGGCCUUCGGGUUGUAAACUGCUUUUGUACGGAACGAAACGGCUCUGGUUAAUACCCGGGGCUAAUGACGGUACCGUAAGAAUAAGCACCGGCUAACUACGUG